rnacentral:rRNA from 1 species
GUAUAAGAGACAGCAGCAGCCACGGGAAUACGAAGGGGGCUAGCGUUGUUCGGAAUUACUGGGCGUAAAGCGCACGUAGGCGGAUAUUUAAGUCAGGGGUGAAAUCCCAGAGCUCAACUCUGGAACUGCCUUUGAUACUGGGUAUCUUGAGUAUGGAAGAGGUGAGUGGAAUUCCGAGUGUAGAGGUGAAAUUCGUAGAUAUUCGGAGGAACACCAGUGGCGAAGGCGGCUCACUGGUCCAUUACUGACGCUGAGGUGCGAAAGCGUGGGGAGCAAACAGGAUUAGAUACCCCAGUAGUCCCUGUCUCUUAUAC